rnacentral:rRNA from 1 species
GUGCCAGCCGCCGCGGUAAUACGAAAGGUCCAAGCGUUACUCGGAAUUACUGGGCGUAAAGCGCGCGUAGGCGGCUUUGUAUGUCGAUUGUGAAAGCCCCGGGCUCAACCUGGGAACUGCAGUCGAAACUGCAAAGCUUGAAUGUUGGAGAGGUUGGGGGAAUACCUAGUGGAGAAGUGAAAUUCGUAGAGAUUAGGUGGAACACCAGAGGCGAAGGCGCCUGACUGGCCAAACAUUGACGCUGAGGCGCGAAAGCGUGGGUAGCAAACAGGAUUAGAAACCCCCGUAGUCC